rnacentral:lncRNA from 1 species
AUUAUAUAAAUAAAGGAAAAUGGACAAACAGGCAAAAGGUUCUCACCUCCCUGAGUAAAUGGUUGCAAAUAGAGGUGAGCCGACUUGAUUUGAAAUCUAUAGAAUGCUUACCUGCCCCUUGCUAUACACUAAGGCUAUGGAUGGAGUUUUACAAGCCCAUGAUCCCCCUCAUGCUUGACAGGAUGAAAAGAUUUCUGAGAAUCUUCUCCAUUGCAACAAAACAAGUCCUUUUGGAUGUGUCUCCAGAUCCAGAUAUAAAACAGUCUCAGCAAACUUCUGGGGAGCAAAGAGUACUAGCUACUCCUCCGCUGACCACAAGGCCACAGCUAAUGGGCUCUCUGCCAAAACACAAUGUAGAUGAAGGUCCGCUCAUGACACAGCAGCAACAGGAAAGAUUACAGCAGUGACCAGCUGCAUCUCUACCAGCAGUCAGAGAACUAGUCUCCCUGGAUAAGCUGGAGUGCCUGACCAAGUCCUUGGAAGAAUCUCUAGUAAAUUCAAGAGGGUUCCCAGCUGUGCAUAGCUCAGCAAUAAUGCCAGCAGUUGGGAUGAUACAAAAACCUCAAAUCAAGUCUACUCUAGAGAGCUCUUCAAGGUCCAGGAGAAGACUCCCAACUUGGGCCACAACUGGGGCAGCAUUGCAAAGCAGGUAAACAGUAUUACUCAGAUGGUAACUGGUCAGGACAAAACUGAAUCACCAUCCAAGGACUUACUGAUGCAACUGGAUAUAGAUGGAGAUGAACUUGUGGAAGAAGUUGUGGCAGCCAAGACUACAGUUCCAAAUUCUUGCAGAAAAGUAAUCCUAAGGGGCUCUAAUAUUACUUCUCUGUUAACUGGAAUGUGUAUUGGAGGAGGCACUGCUCCACUUGGCAACUACCUAUUGAUGGCUGCCAUUUUUCUUCCCAGGAUGCUCUGGAGACUUCAUCAUUUAGAGGCAUUGUUGAGUGGUGGAGAAGAGGCAUCAUUAUGGUGGCAGCCACUAUCUCCUCUUCACUCUGCUCCUAGAUAAGAUCUUAUUCUAAUUAGUGUAAAUAAAUACAGAAGAAAUGUGGAAGGCUCUGUCUUG